UACUCGAGUGGCGAACGGGUGAGUAACACGUGGGUGAUCUGCCCUGCACUUCGGGAUAAGCUUGGAAAACUGGGUCUAAUACCGGAUAGGAGCCAUCUUUAGUGUGGUGGUUGGAAAGUUUUUUCGGUGUAGGAUGAGCUCGCGGCCUAUCAGCUUGUUGGUGGGGUAAUGGCCUACCAAGGCGGCGACGGGUAGCCGGCCUGAGAGGGUGUACGGCCACAUUGGGACUGAGAUACGGCCCAG
rnacentral:rRNA from 1 species